AACGAACGCUGGCGGCAGGCUUAACACAUGCAAGUCGAACGCUCGUGGCAACACGGGAGUGGCAGACGGGUGAGUAACGCGCGGGAACCUACCUCAUGGUGCGGAAUCACUCAGGGAAACUUGAGCUAAUAACGCAAGCGCCCUUCGGGGGACAGAUUUAUCGCACGGGGAGGGGCCCGCGUCGGGCGAGAUAGUUGGUGGGGUAACGGCCUACCAAGGCGACGAUCCGUAGCUGGUCUGAGAGGAUGAUCAGCCGCACUGUGACUGCGACACGGCCCAGACUCCUACGGGAGGCAGCAGUGGGGAAUAUUGGACAAGGGGGGCAACCCUGAUCCAGCCAUGCCGCGUGAGUGAUGAAGGCCUUAGGGUUGUUAAGCUCUUUCGCCCGCGACGAUAAUGACUGUAGCGGGAGAAGAAGCCCCGGCUAACUUCGUGCCAGCAGCCGCGGUAACAC
rnacentral:rRNA from 1 species